rnacentral:rRNA from 1 species
AGCGAACGCUGGCGGCAGGCUUAACACAUGCAAGUCGAGCGGGCAUCCUUGUGGUGUCAGCGGCAGACGGGUGAGUAACGCGUGGGAACGUGCCCUUCGGUUCGGAAUAACUCAGGGAAACUUGAGCUAAUACCGGAUACGUGCGAGAGCAGAAAGGUUUAUCUGCCGAAGGAUCGGCCCGCGUCUGAUUAGCUAGUUGGUGAGGUUACGGCUCACCAAGGCGACGAUCAGUAGCUGGUCUGAGAGGAUGAUCAGCCACACUGGGACUGAGACACGGCCCAGACUCCUACGGGAGGCAGCAGUGGGGAAUAUUGGACAAUGGGGGCAACCCUGAUCCGGCCAUGCCGCGUGAGUGAUGACGGCCUUAGGGUUGUAAAGCUCUUUUCUCCGGGACGAUAAUGACGGUACCGGAGGAAUAAGCCCCGGCUAACUUCGUG